rnacentral:lncRNA from 1 species
CAGUGUUAACAUUUUGGUUUAUUUUUCCCUUUUACGUGUAUAUGAGAGUAACUAUUUUAUGAAAUAGUCUAAAUUUCCCUCUUCAUAUUAAAUAAGGAAUUUCCACACAAUUAGAAAUACUUAAAGCUUCAUUUCCGUUGCCUGUAAAAUAUUCUGAAAUAUACACUAUAUUAUUUCCCUUCGAUGAUGGGCUUAAAGUUUCCUUAUGAAUUUUCACUAUAAUAAAUAAUGUUCUGAUAAAUAUCUUUAUGCCUCUUUGUCUAUAUUUCUGAUUACUUCCUCAGAAGUGGAAUUACUGGGGGAAAUUGUCUGAAAAUGUAUUUUAGACAGGAUAAUAUACUGAAUGAGAGCACUGGCUUUGGAAUCUGAAAGUCUGGAUCCAAUUAUCAGUUCUCCAUAUACUAUUUGCCAAAUCUUAAUAAGAUUACUUUAUCUCUUUGCAUCUUAGCUUCAUCAUUUGUAAAAUGAAGAUAGUACUGGAGUUCUCAUCAUGGCUCAGUGGUUAAUGAAUCCGCCUAGGAACCAUGAGGCUGUGGGUUCGACUCCUGGCCUUGCUCAGCGGGUUAAGGAUCCAGCAUUGCCAUGAGCUGUGGUGUAGGUUGCAGCUGUGUUGCUGUGGCUGUGGAGUAGGCCACCAGCUACAGCUCCAAUUAGACCCCUAGCCUGGGAAUCUCCCUGUGCUGUGGGUGCGGUCGUAAGAAAAGACAAAAAAAAAAAAAAAAGAUAGUACUCAUUUCAUAGGGGAUUUAGAGAGAUUAAAUGAAACAUGUUAAAAUGCACAUGCAUAGUACUUCAAAAAUCAACCACUAGGUGGAGAUGGCAGUUUAUAAUUUUAAAGUACUGGUUCUAGGGCAAUUCCCAAACAGCGGCACCUGAGAAUUUUUUGAGAACUGUAGUUUCUUCUGUAGAAUCCCAGAACUACUAAUCAGCAUCUCUGAGGUUGGGGCUCAGCAACCUGUUUCAAUGAGUCCUCCCAGUGAGUCUCACACACCCUAAAGUUUGAGGAUCACUGAUCUAAUACAUCUUCACAUUUUUCUCUGAUGUGUUGCCUAGGCAGGGAGAAGAGUUAAAAGACAACACAGAAUACCAACUGGUAAUUGAAUGCUACAAAAGCUACACUAAGUGAUAUACAUACAUUAUGGCAUGGGUUAUUAUUUUUAUAACAGUUACUUUUAUAUUUUAUGAGAUAGUUCUUUUUAUCCUCAUUUUUCAAACAUUAUAUCGAUGAACUUGCCCAUAGUGACUUACCAGUUAGCCAUGGAUUUACCUACUAUACUACACUGCCACCCCAAAUCCUGUCUUAGUAUCCUUGCCAUACUCAAUCGUCAUUGUCUGGGAGCAGCCCAUGGACCUCACACAAACACAAAGACAAAGGAGAGGUUUCUUUCACAGCUGUCUUAUCUACUGUGAUUCCUCAUGUAUCCUUUCUAAAUUGUCCACUUAAAUGUAUAAAUAAAACUAACAGGAGGCUUUAAUUAUUCUUCAGUAACUCUCAUUUAAGAGUCACAAGCUACUGUGGAUUCACAUUGAGUUAACGCUUAGUAAAGCACUUAGAUUGGUGCCUAGCACAUAGUGUAAGUGCUAAAUUGUUAUUAAUAUGAUAAUCUUAGAGUUCAACUGAACUUCUGAAAGAAGGAAAACCUCUGAGACUUUAAGUUUGCAGCUGGCAUAUAAUGAGGCAAUAAUGCUGGCCUAGGGCUCUCUCCUACAAGAAUCUGCAACAUAGUACCAAAAACUUUUUCUAUUUGGUAUGUAGAGAAACUAAGGUAAAGAUGGGAAGAGAGUAAAAGAGCUUCUUCAGAAACAAGUCUCCCCCUAAAAGUUCUCAACACAAAGGGAAAAAAAAUUGUAACUAUAUAAGUGGAUGGACGUUAACUUAUUGUGUUGAUCACUUCACAAUACAUAAAUAUAUGAAGUCAUUCUGCUGUACACCUUAAAACUUAUACAAAGUUGUAUGUCAGUUAUACCUCAAUAAAACUGGGGAGAAAGUCUUCCAUAAAUUCUCAU